GGAGUGCUGCAAGAAUGGUGAAGGACCUUGAGGGGAAGCAGGAUGAGGAGUGACUCAAUUCACUUGGUCUCUUCAGCCUCGAGAAGAGGAGACUGACGGGAGACCUCAUUGCAGUCACAAUUUCUUUGUGAGGGGAAGAGGAGGGGCAGGCACUGAUCUCUUCUCUGUUGUGGCCAGUGACAGGACCCAAGGGAAUGG